rnacentral:rRNA from 1 species
CCUACGGGAGGCAGCAGUGGGGAAUAUUGGGCAAUGGAGGCAACUCUGACCCAGCAACGCCGCGUGAGUGAUGAAGGUCUUCGGAUUGUAAAACUCUUUAAGUGGGGACGAAGAAAGUGACUGUACCCACAGAAUAAGCCUCGGCUAACUACGUGCCAGCAGCCGGGGUAAUACGUAGGCGGCAAGCGUUCUCCGGAAUGACUGGGUGUAAAGGGUGAUUAGGUGGGUUGAAAAGUUAGUCGCGAAAUUCCGGGGCUUAACUUCGGAACUACUACUAAAACUGUUGGGCUUGAGUGCAGGAGAGGUGAAUGGAAUUCCUGGUGUAGCGGUGGAAUGCGUAGAUAUUAGGAGGAACACCAGCGGCGAAGGCGAUUCACUGGACUGUAACUGACGCUGAGGCACGAAAGUGUGGGGAGCAAACAGGAUUAGAUACCCUAGUAGUC